rnacentral:lncRNA from 1 species
CUGGACACUAUAGGAGGCGCUGGCAUAGACGUCGUAAGUAUAACAAUCUAGAAUUAUAUUUUAUCUGCGAUGAGUUAAUGUGUGGUUGCAUUAAAUUAAUCUCUAAAAUUGGUAUAAAUUCAAUUUUUAAAAAAAUUUUCUUGUAUGCCUUUCAUCUUCUGGGUUUGAUAACACUAGAUCCGAUCUAGCACUAGGUUGAUUAAAUCAAACGGAAAAUUGCCCCUAAAUCUCUCACCCUUUCUCAAAAUUUAUUUCUAACAUGUCUGGAAGAUCCCGGAAGGAAUUGGGCCAAAUUUUGGCAUUGUAAGCUACACCAAUGCUAGAACGGGACGACACUGCAUAGUGCCAAAGAUCCCAGCAAUGCCAUCACGCUUCAGGACCAGCUUCUGCAACAGCCUGGGUUUCAAGGGCCCACAGCUUUUUAAUAUUCUCCCAAAGAGUCUGAGGAACUUGCACCAAGUAGAUGUAGCCGUUUUUAAAUCAAAGCUGGACAUCUUCCUGUCAAGAGUCCCAGAUGAACCUACCUCACGGCAAGAGGUGCAAAUGAGAGUAGCUGUAUCAAACUCCAUUCUUCACCAAGUGCCACAUAUUAGACGAGGUUCGUCGCAAUAACAGUGUAGCACAAAACGGCGGUGCAUCAGCAUGGCCGCAGCUCUGAGCUGAAACUAGAAAAAAAAAACAAAAAAAAAAAAACACAAAGCCACGCAUUGUUUUUUUGGGAAAUGUAUUGCUUAUCAAUUAGUCACAAUACUUGGUAUAUUUAUAUUUCGUGGAAUCUGUAAGAAGGAAACGCAAAGCCAUCUUUGGUGGGUUUCGAAAUACUACAAGUUACUUUGUCCACCGCUCUUUGAUUCUCGUUAUUCACAACACAUGUCAAUCUCCUAACGACACUCUUAAAACGUGUAGAUCACUCAGCAGGUAAUAAUACAAUAGAGCGCUAGUAGGUCCAUACAAUUAAAUUAGAUAUAUAAAUCUUUCUACUGCUUUAACGGCCCUAUUUUACAUUUACAACAUAUGUUGAUGACUUUGCAGUGUGACAAUUGAGCAUCCUGUUAUUACUCAUUGCAAGAUGUCCUACAUUAUUUCGGCGGCUGUGGCGUCAAAUGUCACACACUAUUUCGUAGUCAUAAUUUUUCUACGUCGAUUACUUGAUAAAAUCCAAAUGAUCUCAAACAAAGUAAUGUAUGUCCAACCGUUUUAAAAGUAAUUUUUGUAUUAUAUUUUCACCUGUUUGAAGUUCGUUUCAAAAUUAUUAAUGAAUGGCAAGUAGAAUACAUUUGAUUAAUUAAAAGAUUAAUUGAAUUUUGGAAUGAAAUCGAAAAAAUAAGUUUAGUUGUUUAAGUACUGGCUUCCAGUUUCCGUACUUAUAGUUCAAUAUUUAAAAUUCUUUCAAAUCGACUCUUCUCACAAAAUUUCAUCUACAAAAUUAUUAGUUGAUCAAAUCUUAUAAUUUAUUUCCAUCUCCCAGAAUCAAAUGAAAAUAAAAUACGAAAAGUAAUAAUUUUCUCCUAAAGAUGUUUCACUUUGUUUUAUAAUAUACAGCUGGACACUAUAGGAAGCGCUGGCAUAGACGUCGUAAGUAUAACAAUCUAGAAUUAUGUUUUAUCUGCGAAGAGUUAAUGCGUGGUUGCAUUAAGUUAAUCUCUAAAAUUGGUAUAAAUUCAAUUAUUUUUUUACGAGAGAGAAAAGUUUAUUGAAUCGACCUCAGUACAUGAAUGGUACAGUUGCCUUAUCCAUUCCGGAAGGACGAAAUCCAGCACUAACAUCGGCGAAAUUUGAUCUCAAGGAGUAACUAUCUACUGUAAUCAUAUUAGGUUAUUUGACAUAAUCCAAAAUAUUUUAAAUAGAAUAUCUCCUGCUCAGUUUUUAGUACUUAAAAAAAAAUUGUACGUUCGAAAUUUGAAAAUCGGAUCUAUGGUAAAUAUUACCUAUAUUAUUUCUUAGAUAAAGAGAUUAUAAAUUUUAUCGCUUUCAGAUGUAACAAAAUUUAAGUGUUGCUGUAUGAAUACAAGCUAUAAAGUACAUAAAAAAUUUAUUAAAAUUAUUAAGAAUAGUUUGUAUUACAAUUAAUUCACAUAUUUACAAUUAUUCAAAAAUAUAUAAUUGUUGUAAUCUACUUAAUCAUAAAUACAUAAAUAAUUUCUAAAACAAAUACUAAAUUACUUAGUUUAUCGGAGGAAAAAACUGUAAGUAAAAGUUUAAACAUUUAUAAAUAAAUUAGCUAUUAAGCCCCACCCCCAGAAAUACGCGCUUGAAAAUAAAUGUUUUUUAUUGCAAUAUGUCAUUAAGUAAAAUUAUUCAUAUAUUAUUAUCAUUAUUAUUAUUACCAUUAAUUGAUAAAUUAAAUGAAUGUAUUCAUAAAGUAUAAUUUAGUAUAAUGAAGAUAGCUUAUUUGUAAUCUAUCACCGUGUGAAGGCGCGUGGCUCAGUGGUUAGAGCGUCGAGCUUACGAUCGUGAGGUUGUGAGCUCGAAUCCCGGACCGGGCUGCGUGUUGUGUUCUUGAGCAAGACACUUUAUUUCACGUUGCUUCAGUUCACUCAGCUGUAGAAAUGAGUUGCGACGUCACAGGUGCCAAGCUGUAUCGGCCCUUGCCUUUCCCUUGGACAACAUCGGUGAUGUGGAGAGGGGAGGCCGGUAUGCAUGGGCGACUGCUGGUCUUCCAUAAAACAACCUUGCCCAGACUUGUGCCUCAGAGGGUAACUCUCUAGGUGCAAACCCAUGGUCAGUGUCAUGACCGAUGGGGGUCACCAAUUAAUAUUUAACUACGAAUAUAAUGAUGUAUUAUACAGUAAAUAUAAAUAUUUUCACUGGAACUAAUACGAAAUAUCAUGAAUUAAUCCACUAAAAAAGUCUUUUUCCAAAUGCUCACCUUACAGAAUUUAAAAUAACAAACCCUAUGUCUCAAUACAAGAAACUUAAAAAGGAAUCAGUAUAAAGAUAAAAAAUCAAAAAACUUAGUAUGAAUCCGACAUAGCAACAAUUAAGGAAACAAAUGCUUUAGUCUAAUAAUUUAAUGUCUUAAAAUGAUCUUGAGCAAGAAGAACAAGAUGGUGAAAUAAAGUCCUAAGCAGACGAUCAGAAAGCCCACGGAUCAAAAUGGGGUGUGAGCAGAACAUCCAUGGUCAGGGAAAUAAACUGAAAGCAAAAAAACCACCGCUCAUACAUUGAUACUGAUCAUUACAGUGACAUAAAAUGCCAUUUUGUUUCUAUCUUUGCAGACGGAAGACAUUACGCCCGCCAUGGUUAAAAAUGUGAGUAUACUAAGUGAAAUUACUAACCUUAUUCAAUAAAAAAAAUAAAUGCGCCCUUUUAAAGUCUAGCCAGACUUAUAGCCCCGGUUUCCCAGUUUCAAUGGCGUAUGUGUUCCCCAGCUGGACGGGAGGCCAGUCCAUCACAGCGUUACUCAUUUUUGCCAGCUGAGUGGACUGGAGCAACGUGAAAUGAAAUGUUUUGCUCAAGAACACAACGCGUCGCCCGCCCCAUAAUCGAAACCACAAUCUUACGAUCACGAUGCUGACACCCUAACCACUAAGCCACGCGCCUCCAACUGUAUUCAAGUGGUCCUGGAAAUAUUACUAUGUUUUAUUCCGAGAUAGCUACAAUUCGGUUCAGGCAACUUAAGAUUAAAUCUAAGAAGUGUUGGAAACUUUGCAAAGUCAGCAAAUCGUGUCAAAUCGUCGGAACAAUGCGGUAAUCACCUGGGUAUAUUCCACUCAACAGCUAGCUUCAAUCAGAUUGGAAAAGAUCUCACAAGACGGUUAUGAUCCACCCUGUAAGUAGCAGCAGUGGUUUCACAGUGGAAUCGAACCGUGAAUCGUUAGUCAGAAGUGUUGAACUGAAUUGCAGCUGCAGGAAAACAUUACCGGCAAAAGACUAGCAUCUUAGCCAUGGGACCAUCUGUUUCUCAUCUCAUCCAGUUAUCGCAAACUUUUCUUUUAUCUUUUACUUCUGCAGAUUGUUUCCUAAGUGCAGAUUACCCAAGACAUUAUUUAGUGUCUUCGCUUCUAAGACGGUUGGGUAUCAUUUGAAAGAAAUUUACUUGUAACCUAUUUCUGGUCGAAUAACAAUGUGGGUGAGCUCUCGGUUGUCCCUGGCAGCGUAGCCAGAUGAUGGAAGUUGUCCGCUCCGAGCGACGCUUUUGUGGUGACGGCACUUUUGGGAUUACUGUAUUAAGUCCGUGUAGGCUUGGGGGCCCCCGGUGGGCCGCAAACCUUAGAGCUGCAGUGGCAAACACUCUACCUACGUCACAUGUUGUUCCGUGGUGUUUUAAAUUUUUCUCGGUGUUUGUAAUGAUUGUAUAUGUGCUGGAAACUGCUAAGAUUGGAACUUGGAGUUGUAAAAGACAGAGAUCCUAUCGAUUUUAGUUGUUUUGUUUCUUUGUGUAGGUGGUUUGUGAUCGACCUAUGAAGAUGCGAAGUGCACUAUUUUUGUUCUUUUUCUAGUUUAUUAUGGUUUGUAGAAGAGGAAUUGGGACCGAAGCAUGUUAGAUUUAAUGCAUCGUUUGCAUACUAAUGUUUCUUUGCAUAUGUUACACUGUAGGUUUGUGGAUUUGGUAGACGCAGUAGAUUUGGUAGAGAGAGAGAGAGAGAGAAAGAGAGAGAGAGAGAGAAAGAGAGAGAGAGAAAGAGAGAGUGUGUGUGUGUGCGUGUGCGUGCAUGUAUGUGUUCAUGAGAAGACAUGUAUAAUUCUUUUUCAAGCCUUGGUAUUAUCUUUAUAUGUUUUAAUUUGAAGGAAUCCAUAUUAAAAUAAUACUUUAAUGAUUUUCUUUUCGUUUUUCUAAAGUUUUUGGGGACUGCAGUCGAAGAAAGAGCACAAUUUCGAAUUUAUAGCUAAGCAGUUCAUUAUGAAUAAUGGUGUUCAUACUCUAAGGAUUAUUUUUUGCCUAACCGUUCACUAAUGGGAAUCACUAAGAACAUCUGUCAACAGUGGAUGAAACACUAUUUUCCGCUGUUUUUCCAGACAUUAAAAAAAAAACUACAUUUACUCACUGACUAUCUGAGUUCAAAAUGUUCUUCCAAGUGCGACUUAAUAAAUAAUUUUCAUAACUGAAAAUAAAAACAA